UAAGUUAGGACCUACCAUUUUA
rnacentral:siRNA from 1 species